rnacentral:siRNA from 1 species
UUCGCUCUCGUAGUUAACAGCUGC